rnacentral:lncRNA from 1 species
CAGGGCAUCAUCAGCCCUUUUCAGAUCCUAAGGUUCUGAGGCUUAACGUCACACAGAAGCUACUGCCACAUGGAUUAAACCCAAGAACUUGAGAGCUAUUUAAAGCUUAAGGAUUUUGCCCUAACAAUGUUCACUUUUUUUUUUGCACAGCCCGAAAAAUUUAGGAUUCUAAUAACCAUCCAGAAUAUCUGCCAAGUACUUCGACAUAGCAGUCUCCCUUCCCUUCCAGAUUCUUACAUCACUGCCAAGAACAAAGUGCGUGGAUCACUGAGGAUUCCUAGGAGAAAGUCUGAUCGACCCGUCUCAGAUCACAUGUUCACCCUCGAGUUGGAGACGCUGAAACUGGUGGAACACAGUCACAUGACAUGAAAUCCGUCCCUCCCGGAGUCAUAAGCAGUGUAGAGCCUCUGAGGUGGAAUGUGAGAAGGAAGGAGGGAGGGAAUGUUUGUCAUCUCUGAAGAUGUGGGGCUGAAGGCUAAAAGAGACUUGCUGAGCUGUGGUUCAAGAUAAAUAAAUGAAUAAAUAAGUCAUGGCUUUAGAAAGAACAAAAGAGAAUCCCAUUUAUUAGUCACAGAACCGCAGACGGUAUUCCUGGCCGUUCAGAUUCCUUAUCUCAUAUGUAACCGUGGGUCUAUGAUUACCGUUUGUAUCUCAAUAAUGUCGUAAGGAAUGACCUAUCUUAACAUCAAGGAUUUGGCAGGUUUCCUAUGAAAAAAACCAUCCAGCAAUUCUCUUUGAAUUCGUUAUCCCCAACCUUACUAUAAAUAUAUUUGGAAGGCAGUUACAUGAGCUGGCAAUGUUGAAGUCCC